rnacentral:rRNA from 1 species
CCCUUAGAUGUUCUGGGCUGCACGCGCGCUACACUGAUGCGUUCAACGAGUGUACAACCUUGACCGUGAGGUUUGGGUAAUCUUUUGAACACGCAUCGUGAUGGGGCUUGAUUAUUGCAAUUAUUAAUCAUAAACGAGGAAUUCCUAGUAAUGGCGAAUCAUCAGUUCGUCGUGAUUACGUCCCUGCCCUUUGUACACACCGCCCGUCGCUCCUACCGAUUGAGCAAUCCGGUGAAUAUUUCGGACCGGAGGCAAGUGUGGUUCGCCGCGCUCGCUUCUGGAAAGUCAAGUGAACCUUAUUGCUUAGAGGAAGGAGAAGUCGUAACA